AAAAGACAUCUAUUCAAAGUCACUUCGAUGUUUCCAAACUACACAUAGAUGACCAGCUAGCAGAUGUUGUGGGGUUCCGAAACAGGUUGCUAGGUGGUGCACUACCAACUUCAAUUAGAAUAAGUCAGGUUACAUCCCAGGGCGCCUGGUCUGCUGCAGAUGAACUAAAAAGAGGGGAUGUUGUGGUGAAAUCUAUAGAGGAUGUCUUACUCUCCAUGGAGGAAGGUCCAACUUGGAUUGCAGGGAGCAUUGUUUCUAUAAACGCUGGAAAUAGUGAUUGGUUUUAUAAAGCAUGUAGAAAGUGUCCAAAGAAGGUUGAAACUCCAAUUGGAAAUCGAUAUGAAUGCAGCAAAUGUGGCCACACACAUG